AUUGAACGCUGGCGGCAGGCCUAACACAUGCAAGUCGAACGAGUGGCGGACGGGUGAGUAAGGUCUGGGAAACUGCCUGAUGGCGGGGGAUAACUACUGGAAACGGUAGCUACUACCGCAGACCAUCAGAUGUGCCCAGAUGGGAUUAGCGAGUUGGUGGGGGAACGGCUCACCAAGGCGACGAUCCCUAGCUGGUCUGAGAGGAUGACCAGCCACACUGGAACUGAGACACGGUCCAGACGCCUACGGGAGGCAGCAGGGGGGAAUAUUGCACAAUGGGCGCAAGCCUGAUGCAGCCAUGCCGCGUGUAUGAAGAAGGCCUUCGGUGUGUAAAGUACUUUCAGCGGGGAGGCGUUACCCGCAGAAGAAGCACCGGCUAACUCCGUGCCAGCAGCCGCGGUAAUAC
rnacentral:rRNA from 1 species